GGGAAGUACACAGACCAGAGCAAGAGGUUCAGUGAGUCCACGUGAUGAAAAAUGGGCAUGAGACAGGAAGUAAUAUGGCUAAGAGUCUGAGAAACACAGCCAAACAGAGGAGUUUAUUUUAGCUAUUUGCCUAGAAGACUCCAAACAAUGAAUGUAAGUAUAGUUUAGCCACUAAAAACAUGCAGAGAAGAAAGGUACAACAGUGGGAAGAAGAAAGGACCUGUUUUUGAGUGAAGCCCAGCUUUGGAUUCCUUUUCUACCAUCUAUUAUCUAUGUUUAACUGCAGGCCUCCAGAAGAAGAACCUAAGAGGGCAGAGUAAAAGUUCUUCCUCCCCAACAGCAGAAAACAAG